AACAGGAUUAGAUACCCUGGUAGUCCACGCCGUAAACGAUGUCGACCAGCCGUUGGGUGCCUAGCGCACUUUGUGGCGAAGUUAACGCGAUAAGUCGACCGCCUGGGGAGUACGGCCGCAAGGUUAAAACUCAAAUGAAUUGACGGGGGCCCGCACAAGCGGUGGAGCAUGUGGUUUAAUUCGAUGCAACGCGAAGAACCUUACCUACUCUUGACAUCCUGCGAAUUUGGUAGAGAUACCUUAGUGCCUUCGGGAACGCAGAGACAGGUGCUGCAUGGCUGUCGUCAGCUCGUGUUGUGAAAUGUUGGGUUAAGUCCCGUAACGAGCGCAACCCUUGUCCUUAUUUGCCAGCGCGUAAUGGCGGGAACUCUAAGGAGACUGCCGGUGACAAACCGGAGGAAGGUGGGGACGACGUCAAGUCAUCAUGGCCCUUACGAGUAGGGCUACACACGUGCUACAAUGGUCGGUACAAAGGGUUGCCAACUCGCGAGAGUGAGCCAAUCCCGAAAAGCCGAUCUCAGUCCGGAUCGGAGUCUGCAACUCGACUCCGUGAAGUCGGAAUCGCUAGUAAUCGUGGAUCAGAAUGCCACGGUGAAUACGUUCCCGGGCCUUGUACACACCGCCCGUCACACCAUGGGAGUGGACUGCACCAGAAGUGGUUAGCCUAACGCAAGAGGGCGAUCACCACGGUGUGGUUCAUGACUGGGGUGAAGUCGUAACAAGGUAACC
rnacentral:rRNA from 1 species